UACGUAGGGGGCAAGCGUUGUCCGGAAUCAUUGGGCGUAAAGAGCGUGUAGGCGGCCCGGUAAGUCCGCUGUGAAAGUCCAGGGCUCAACCCUGGGAUGCCGGUGGAUACUGUCGGGCUCGAGUCCGGAAGAGGAGUGUGGAAUUCCUGGUGUAGCGGUGAAAUGCGCAGAUAUCAGGAGGAACACCGGUGGCGAAGGCGGAGACCUGGGCAGAUAUUGACGCUGAGGUGCGAAAGCGUGGGGAGCAAACAGG
rnacentral:rRNA from 1 species